rnacentral:rRNA from 1 species
UACACACCGCCCGUCGCUACUACCGAUUGAAUGGUGUAGCAAGGUCCUCGGAUCGGUGCCAUUUUAGUGGUUUCGGCCGCUUAAACGGCGCUGAGAAGACGACCAAACUUAGUACACCUUAAAACGGUGAAACCCAAGGGGGCGAAUGGCUCAUUAGAACAGAAUCAACCGGUUGUGGCUUCGGUAUGGCCGUUGUACUCUGUGAUGACUCUGGAUAACUUUACUGAUCGCAGUCGGCCUUGUCCGGCGACGGAUGUCAAUAACGGGUAACGGGGAAUCAGGGUUCGAUUCCGGAGAGGGAGCCUGAGAAACGGCUACCACUUCUAAGGAAGGCAGCAGGCACGCAUUACCCAAUCCCGGCACGGGGAGGUAGUGACGAUAAAUACGGAUACGGGACUCAAAAGAGGCUCCGUAAUUCGAAUGAGUACAAUUUAAAUCCUUUAACGAGGACCAACUGGAGGGCAAGUCUGGUGCCAGCAGCCGCGGUAACUCCAGCUCCAGAAGCGUAUAUUAAAGUUGUUGCAGUUAAAAAGCUCGUAGUUGGAUGGGGUCGCAUGGCUACGCGCCGUUGCUUGUGAUCUCGGUUUGGUUACGACCGGAUUGAGUUCAUGAGUCGGUGUAGUGGUUGUGCAGCCUUUCUGCCGUGUCUGUUUUACAGGUGCUGGCGGAUUGUUGGGUUCGCUCUUCAGUCUGUCGUAUGCUUCCGAAUGCCUUUAAACGGGUGUUGGGGGCGGACGGCACGUUUACUUUGAACAAAUUUGAGUGCUCAAAGCAGGCCCUUGUGCCUGAAAAGUCUUGCAUGGAAUAAUG